GACUCUCGGCAACGGAUAUCUCGGCUCUCGCAUCGAUGAAGAACGUAGCGAAAUGCGAUACUUGGUGUGUGAAUUGCAGAAUCCCGUGAACCACCGAAGUCUUUACGAAGCAAGUUGCGCCCGAAGCCAUUAGGUCGAGGGCACGUCUGCCUGGGCGUCA